rnacentral:tRNA from 1 species
AGCCCUGAGGUGUAUCCACAUAUUGAAUUGCAAAUUCAGAGAAGCAGCUUCAAUCCUGCCGGGGCUU